rnacentral:rRNA from 1 species
UACGUAGGGUGCGAGCGUUGUCCGGAAUUAUUGGGCGUAAAGAGCUCGUAGGCGGUGUGUCACGUCGUUCGUGAAAACCUGCAGCUUAACUGUGGGCGUGCGGUCGAUACGGGCAUCACUGGAGUUCGGCAGGGGAGACUGGAAUUCCUGGUGUAGCGGUGAAAUGCGCAGAUAUCAGGAGGAACACCGGUGGCGAAGGCGGGUCUCUGGGCCGAAACUGACGCUGAGGAGCGAAAGCGUGGGGAGCGAACAGG